rnacentral:piRNA from 1 species
UUGGACUUGUCCGAAAGGCAACAAAAGGC